GACGUAGGGGGCGAGCGUUGUCCGGAUUCAUUGGGCGUAAAGAGCGCGUAGGCGGCCCGGAAAGUGGGGUGUGAAAACCCGAGGCUCAACCUCGGGCGUGCACUCCAAACUCCCGGGCUCGAGGCAGGUAGGGGAGAUCGGAAUUCCUGGUGUAGCGGUGAAAUGCGCAGAUAUCUGGAGGAACACCGGUGGCGAAGGCGGCAUCCUGGACCGGCAUUGACGCUGAGGCGCGAAAGCCAGGGGAGCAAACGGG
rnacentral:rRNA from 1 species